rnacentral:rRNA from 1 species
GACGAACGCUGGCGGCGUGCUUAACACAUGCAAGUCGAACGGAAAGGCCCUGCUUUUGUGGGGUGCUCGAGUGGCGAACGGGUGAGUAACACGUGAGUAACCUGCCCUUGACUUUGGGAUAACUUCAGGAAACUGGGGCUAAUACCGGAUAGGAGCUCCUGCUGCAUGGUGGGGGUUGGAAAGUUUCGGCGGUUGGGGAUGGACUCGCGGCUUAUCAGCUUGUUGGUGGGGUAGUGGCUUACCAAGGCUUUGACGGGUAGCCGGCCUGAGAGGGUGACCGGCCACAUUGGGACUGAGGUACGGCCCAGACUCCUACGGGCGGCAGCAGUGGGAAAUAUUGCACACUGGGCGGAAGCCUGGUGCAGCAACGCCGCGUGCGGGAUGACGGCCUUCGGGUUGUAAACCGCUUUCGCCUGUGACGAAGCGUGAGUGACGGUAAUGGGUAAAGAAGCACCGGCUAACUACGUG